rnacentral:sRNA from 1 species
UGUGGGCCAACUGAAAACAAACCAACCCCUUCUGUUUAGAGCUGGAAGACAUCUCCAUCAUCUGCUCAAACGGAUAAUCCACUACACAUGCUCUCCUAGAGAUGUUUAUUAAUCUCAGAAAUAACAGGACCAUGGAACAGUAAGACAGAUAGCAAGGGGGUCAUCUUAUCAUUGAGCAAGAAUACAGAUAUAUACAACAGGUGGUGGCACCUGCCUUUAAUCCUACGAUUUGGAGAGUAGCGGCAAGAGGAUCAGGAUUUUCAAGACCUUGACGACAUGGUAGCUUGAGCCCCCCGGAAACCACUGGCAUCUUUACUGGGCUCAUAGUUUUGAUUCUUCGAGGAUGUCAUGUAGCUGGAAUCAGAUAAUGUGCAGCCUUCUUAGCAUGGCUUCUCUUCUUUAGUAAUACACGUCUACAGUUUCCCAUGUGUUUUGUCAAGGCUCAAUAGUUCAUUUAGUUUUAGUGAUGAGCAACACUUCGCUACUUCUCCAGGCAGUGGUAAUCACCCAGAUGUAUUAGCUUGUUUGGUUAUCUACUGAUGGAAGACAGCUUUGAUGAAAGUCCACCUGACAGCUCCUCAGUAAAUCCAGUGUAUUAAUCAGGAAUCGUCUCAAGAAUCACGUUCAGAAACAUCUCAGAGACCUGUGCUUUCUCCUUCAAUGUACCCAGUGCACCAAGAUCACACCUACCUCUGCCAUGGAUUCAGCCUUGUAUCUGCCCCUAUCCUAGCAGCUUUAACAUCCCACUGCAGAUCUUCAAAUAAGCAACCCGGUUUGCUAACAAGAAUUUGAGGAGACCCUUGUACUUGCUGGGGGAAGCAGCCAGAAAAGCUAAGGAAUUGGAGCAGCCAGUCAUAAACGUCAAUGGAAGAGACGAGAGUCUGAAGCAUUUUAUACACCUAUAAAUGCCACAACUUUCUUGCUUCCAAACUAGAGUGAUCCUGAAGUGUGCAUUCAGUGCCAUGAUGG